rnacentral:rRNA from 1 species
ACUCAAAGGAAUAGACGGGUGCCCGCACAAGCAGUGGAGUAUGUGGAUUAAUUCGACGCAACGCGAAGAACCUUACCAGGGCUUGACAUCCUGCUAACGAAGUAGAGAUACAUCAGGUGCCCUUCGGGGAAAGCAGAGACAGGUGGUGCAUGGUUGUCGUCAGCUCGUGUCGUGAGAUGUUGGGUUAAGUCCCGCAACGAGCGCAACCCUUACGGUUAGUUGCUACGCGAGAGCACUCUAGCCGGACUGCCGUUGACAAAACGGAGGAAGGUGGGGACGAGGUCAAAUCAUCAUGCCCCUUAUGUCCUGGGCUUCACACGUACUACAAUGGCGGUCAACAGAGGGCAGCGAAGGCGCGAGCCGGAGCCAAUCCCCAAAAGCCGCCUCAGUUCAGAUCGCAGGCUGCAACUCGCCUGCGUGAAGUCGGAAUUGCUAGUAAUCGCGAAUCAGCAUGUCGCGGUGAAUACGUUCCCGGGCAUUGUACACACCGCCCGU